AUGACGUCAUCGCCAACCGUGAGCGCGACGAUGGGGGUAAUGAAUCCGCUCCUCGGCAAGCUCGCCACGCUGAUGGGGGACGAGUACAGGAAGCUCAAGGGGGUGAGGAAGCAGGCGUCGUUCCUCAUGCGUGAGCUCGGCGCCAUGAAAGCUGCCCUCGAGAAGCUGGAGGUCAUGGAGGUACUCGAUCCGCUGGCCAAGAACUGGAGAGAUCAUGUCAGAGAGAUGUCCUACGACAUGGAGAAUUGUAUCGACGACUUCAUGCGUCAAUUUGGGGGUGCCGAUGCUAAGGCCGGCCUCAUCAAGAAAACAGCUCAACGUCUCAAGACGUUGCGGGAGCGUCAUCGCAUUGCUGAGCAGAUGGAGGAGCUCAAGGCUCUUGCUCUGGAGGCCAAUGAACGACGCAUGAGGUACAAGAUCGACAAUUGCGUUGAUUCUAGUUCUGGUGUUGUGCCUGUCGAUCCCCCAAUAUCCGCAAUCUACAAGGAGGCUGCAGGCCUUGUGGGUAUUGAUGGCCCCAGAGAAGAGCUUGUCAGUUGGUUGAUUGAUACUGAGAAACAACUCAAGGUGGUAUCCGUUGUAGGGUUCGGCGGCCUUGGUAAAACUACGCUUGCCAAGCAAGUGUACAAUAAGAUUGGUGGGCAAUUUGAGCGUAAGGCAUUUGUUUCAGUUUCCCAAAGGCCUGAUAUGACAAGCCUUCUAUGUGGCCUGCAACUAAAGCUUGGAAUGGAGGAGUCUUCUCACAUUCGUGAGGUGCAAGACAUCAUCGACCGUCUUAGAGAACAUCUCACGCAUAAGAGGUACCUUAUUGUAGUCGAUGACUUGUGGGAUCAAUCGGCAUGGAAUAUUAUUAGUUGUGCCUUUCCUGAAGAUGGUAAUGGAAGUAGAGUAAUCGUAACCACACGACUAGGUGAUGUGGCUUUCCAUGCGUGUCUCCAUGACCGUGAGUGCAUUUACCAAAUGAAUCCCCUCCAAGAGCAAGACUCAAGAAGUUUAUUCUAUAAUAGAGUAUUUGGGUCUGAAGAUAGCUGUCCACAACAAUUUAAAGAAGUUUCAGCUGAAAUUUUGAAGAAGUGCGGUGGAUUGCCGCUUGCAAUCAUCACUAUUGCUAGCUUAUUAGCUAGUCGUCAAGCAAGAUCAAGGAGUGAGUGGGAGAGCAUAAGGGAUUCACUGAGCUCCAAGUUUGCCACAAAGCCCACCUUGGAAGAGAUGAGGAGUAUAUUAAACCUGAGCUACAUGCAUCUUCCUCUUUAUCUCCGUGCAUGUUUUCUGUACCUUGGCAUGUAUCCAGAGGACCGUAAGAUUAGCAAGGUUGAUCUGGUCCGACAAUGGGUGGCUGAAGGGUUUGUCAGUAAUUUACAUGGAUCAAAUUUGGAGGAUGCUGCGAAGAGUUACUUCCAUGAGCUUAUCAAUAGGGGCAUGAUUCAGCCUGAAGAUACCAUAUGUGGGGAGGUGUUGUCAUGUAGUAUUCAUGAUAUGAUGCUUGAUCUGAUCUUAAGCAAGUGCGGGGAAGAUAAUUUUAUCCGUGUGGCAUAUGACUAUAAAGACAUGGCACAAUGGGAUGGCUGCAACUACAGGGUCCGUCGACUAUCUCUGAAAUUAAGUGCUGGUAGCGCAACAUCGGGGACCAUUGCUACUAGCUUAACACAAAUUCGAUCAUUUGCAUGGUUUGGCGAGUCCAAGUACACACCUCCUCUUUCGGAGUUUAAGUAUCUACGUGUGCUUCUCUUUGAAUUUCCAGAUUACCGGGAGAUGGUAGUCGACCUCACUGCUGCUGGCCAGUUGUUUCAACUUAGGUAUUUGAAGGUUUCAGCUGCAUCAGGCAGCAUUGAGCUUCCUACUGAAAUCCAUGGGCUUGUUCAUUUGGAGACAAUUGAUAUAGAUUGCCGAACGGCACAAAACAUCCCGUCAGAUAUAGUCAUGUUGCACCGCUUGUCCCAUUUGAUUCUUCCGCGUGAUACAGGACUGCCAAAUGGGAUUGGGAACAUGAAAUCGCUACGUACUCUACGUUGUUAUUGCAUGGGCAAGAGCUCAUUGGAUGAUAUUGAGGGCCUCGGCGAGCUCACUAAUCUGAGGGAACUGACACUCACUAAGUCCUACAAGUUUGAUAUGGUGAAGGCAGGGGUUGAAGCCUUGGUCUCCUCCAUUGGAAAGCUCUGUGACCUCAAAUUUCUCUACCUUGCCUGCAAUCUUGAACAUUAUGUCGACCUGCUGGACUCAAUAUCUGAUCCUCCCCUCCGUAUGGAGAAUCUACGUCUGGGAGGAUGGCCAUUCUACAAGGUUCCAAAAUGGAUUGGUGAUCUUCAUUGCCUCCAUAGACUGUCUCUGUGUGUUGAGCGGUUGCGGACUGACGGUGUUCAUGUUCUUGGGCAGCUGCCGUCCCUCAUGUAUCUCAGUCUCAAGGUGUUGUGCAUUCCUCAAGACAAUGCUGUCAUAAUCUGUACAGGAUCAUUCCCAGUUCUGGAGUGUCUUGCUCUCAGGUCUCGUGAUGAUGAUGCAACGGCAUGCAUGGGGUUUGAGGCAGGGGCUAUGCCCAAGCUUCGAAGGCUCGUUCUAGGAGUACAUGAUAGGUGGGGUGGUGGCAGUGCUAUGCCAGUGGGCAUGGUGCAACUCUUAUCCCUUGAGCAAAUCCAUGUAGAUAACAUGUCAUCCAUCCAUGACGACCAUGAUGUCGAGUCUGCCUUCAGGAAUGCUGCACAGCAGGGAGCAUGGACCAUUGGAUUGAAGCAUUGGAGAACGAGAGCAGCUAGGAAUUGGUCGUCCGCGACGGCGACCUCACUCAACCGGUUUUUCUCCGGCUGUUGUUAUCCUUCCAGAUGA
rnacentral:rRNA from 1 species